rnacentral:misc_RNA from 1 species
AAUUUUAAACAACAUUCUCCUGUUUCAUUAAAAAUAAUAGCAUGCUGAAUCCAAGUACAAGAAUAAAAUUUUAUCCUCUAAUAGAUAGUAGACUAAUUGCAAACCAUGUUAACCAUUCCACCAGCUUCAACAUCUAUGAUUUCCCACAUGAGAACCAUUCGAUCCACCAGACCACAAUAUUCUUUGUUCAUUUUCAUCUGUCA